rnacentral:lncRNA from 1 species
ACAGACUCUGUUUGAAGAUGUAUGGCUGUUUCCUACUGGGUUCAUGUUGGCGAUAGAGUGUUUUUUCGUGGCCACAAUGGCCAGUUACACCGAGAGCUGCAAGGCGGCGAUCGACGCUAGGGAGGAGGUGGAGAUGGAGAAGCCAAGAGAGAAGACUGAUGCCAGAUCCUCCGCCAGCGCCCUCGCAGCUGGCACGAGCAACUGAUGACGCUGUACAUGCAUGUUAGAGCCAGUGGAGACGCCGCUGCUUCGACAGACAGCUCCUUCAUAUUUAUUUGUGCUGGCAGUGGCGCAAGAAAGCUUGCAGAGCACGACGGACGUGCGAGCAAUUAAAGCGUGAAUUCUUUCAACCUUGAAA